rnacentral:rRNA from 1 species
UGGGGAAUAUUGCACAAUGGGCGAAAGCCUGAUGCAGCAACGCCGCGUGAAGGAAGAAGGCCUUCGGGUCGUAAACUUCUGUCCUUGGGGAAGAAGAACUGACGGUACCCAAGGAGGAAGCCCCGGCUAACUACGUGCCAGCAGCCGCGGUAAUACGUAGGGGGCAAGCGUUAUCCGGAAUUAUUGGGCGUAAAGAGUACGUAGGUGGCAACCUAAGCGCAGGGUUUAAGGCAAUGGCUCAACCAUUGUUCGCCCUGCGAACUGGGAUGCUUGAGUGCAGGAGAGGAAAGCGGAAUUCCUAGUGUAGCGGUGAAAUGCGUAGAUAUUAGGAGGAACACCAGUGGCGAAGGCGGCUUUCUGGACUGUAACUGACACUGAGGUACGAAAGCGUGGGGAGCAAACAGG